AACGAACGCUGGCGGCGUGCCUAACACAUGCAAGUCGAGCGAGAAAGCCCGCAAGGGUGAGUAAAGCGGCGCACGGGUGCGUAACACGUGGGUAAUCUGCCCUGAAGUCCGGAAUAACUCGCCGAAAGGCGUGCUAAUGCCGGAUAAGACCACGGGAACCUCGGUUCCUGCGGGAAAAGGUGGCCUCUGUACACAAGCUAUCACUUCAGGAUGAGCCCGCGGCCCAUCAGCUAGUUGGCGGGGUAAUGGCCCACCAAGGCUACGACGGGUAGCUGGUCUAAGAGGACGAUCAGCCACACUGGAACUGGGACCCGGUCCAGACUCCUACGGGAGGCAGCAGUGGGGAAUCUUGCGCAAUGGGCGAAAGCCUGACGCAGCAACGCCGCGUGUGUGAUGAAGGUCUUCGGAUCGUAAAGCACUGUCGGGAGGGACGAAUAGGGCGCCGGCUAACAUCCGGCGCUGAUGACGGUACCUCCAAAGGAAGCACCGGCUAACUCUGUGCCAGCAGCCGCCGUAAGAC
rnacentral:rRNA from 1 species